GCUUACGGCCAUACCACCCUGAGCACGCCUGAUCUCGUCUGAUCUCGGAAGCUAACCAGGGUCGGGCCUGGUUAGUACUUGGAUGGGAGACCGCCUGGGAAUACCAGGUGCUGUAAGCU
rnacentral:rRNA from 1 species